UACGUAGGUGGCAAGCGUUGUCCGGAUUUACUGGGCGUAAAGCGUGUGUAGGCGGACCUUUAAGUAGAAAGUGAAAGGUAGGAGCUCAACUCCUACAUUGCUCUCUAUACUGGAGGUCUUGAGUGUCGGAGAGGAAGAUGGAACUGCACGUGUAGCGGUGAAAUGCGUUGAGAUGUGCAGGAACACCAAUGGCGAAGGCAAUCUUCUGGACGAAAACUGACGCUGAGACGCGAAAGCGUGGGGAGCGAACAGG
rnacentral:rRNA from 1 species